UACGUAGGCAGCAAGCGUUGUUCGGAGUUACUGGGCGUAAAGGGCUCGUAGGCGGCCAACUAAGUCAGACGUGAAAUCCCUCGGCUUAACCGGGGAACUGCGUCUGAUACUGGAUGGCUAGAGGUUGGGAGAGGGAUGCGGAAUUCCAGGUGUAGCGGUGAAAUGCGUAGAUAUCUGGAGGAACACCGGUGGCGAAGGCGGCAUCCUGGACCAAUUCUGACGCUGAGGAGCGAAAGCCAGGGGAGCAAACGGG
rnacentral:rRNA from 1 species